CCUGGUGGUUCUUGCGGAGCUUCAAACACCCGACCCCAUGCCGAACUCGGCCGUGAAAGGCUCCAGCGCCGAUGGUACUCCGUCUUAAGACGCGGGAGAGUAGGUCGCUGCCAGGU
rnacentral:rRNA from 1 species